UUUCGGAGCCAGAUCUUCGCUCCGCGUUCUUUGAACCAGGAGAGGAAAGUCCGGACACCACAGGGCAGGAUUCCCACCGAAAGAGGGGGCGCGGCGCUUCAAGGCGCCGUGACGGACAGUGUCACAGAGAACAAACCGCCAUCCGGGCAACCGGGUGGUAAGGGUGAAAAGGUGGGGUAAGAGCCCACCGCGUCCCGCGCAAGCGGGCCGGCAGGAAAAACCCAAUCCGGUGCAAGACUAAAUAGGGGACUCGGCGGCCCGUCGGACAGUCCCGGGUUAGUCGCAUUCCGCGGCGUCGGCGCAAGCCGGCAGCCCGGAGAGGCCGCGUCUUCGGGCGCGCCUAGAGAAAUGAAGAUCACGGCGCCGCUCGCGGCGCCCGACAGAAUCCGGCUUACCCGCUGCGGAACUAG
rnacentral:RNase_P_RNA from 1 species